rnacentral:rRNA from 1 species
UACGGGGGGGGCAAGCGUUGUUCGGAAUUACUGGGCGUAGAGGGCUCGUAGGCGGCCAACUAAGUCAGACGUGAAAUCCCUCGGCUUAACCGGGGAACUGCGUCUGAUACUGGAUGGCUUGAGUUUGGGAGAGGGAUGCGGAAUUCCAGGUGUAGCGGUGAAAUGCGUAGAUAUCUGGAGGAACACCGGUGGCGAAGGCGGCAUCCUGGACCAACACUGACGCUGAGUGAGCGAAAGCCAGGGGAGCAAACGGG